UUGUUCCACAUUAUGUCGUGUUACAGCCUUAUUCGCAUUCAUUUUCACACCGUAUUCUAACGCAGUAACUUCAAUGAGAAAGUGAAAAAAGUCUGCGUUAAAUUCUUGCAAAUUUUGCCCAAGCGUCACACAAAUGGGUAGCUUUACUGUAGCCUACCGAAACAAACCGAAACAAACUACAGAAACAAACAAAAGAUUUUAUGAUAAAAGCAAACUGAAGCACUCUGAAAAAAACUCCCAAAAGGUCUCAUAUUGCUGAUACUAGUAUAGCCAUCCAUAGUAGUACUAAUAGAGUUCUAACGUCAUCUCGCCCACAUCCUGCCUUUUAAUCAGUGUAAAUAUAGUUGUGAAUGAAUUCUCUGCCACUUAUGAAGAGGUGAUGUGUGAACCUCUGAACCGAGGGGCUAGACCUGACAUAAGCUCUGUCUGAAGAGAUCCGUUUUAGCUGGAAACGCUCUUGGCCACUGAUUCCUAAAUAUUGAUUCUGUAGUUUUCAAGUUUGCCAAACCACAAAGAAUUUCACUGAAAAACAUUACAUUUCUAUUAGAUUCGUCUCCCUGAGACCCUUACAGAGUCUUGUUAUUGAUAGGGUUUUUUUCCAUGUGGUAGUUAACCGCUAGGGUUAAUGUAAAAGCCACAGUCUGACGCUCUUAUCUGGUUGGGCCCUUGAAGGUUGAAGGUUUGCAUGACCACAAAUUAUGAAACAGCUGCCUGCAGACAGAAGAACAGUGUUGAAAUUCAUUCAGUGCUGAAACUGCACUAAAUGAAUUUGGACAACCAAAGCAUGCUAGUGAAUAUAACCAGUGAUACAUGUUACAAACUCAGGAAACAGGAAACCACCCUGACAAUCAAAACAUCAGCAACGUGCUGCUAAAAAGCCAAGCUGCAGCACAUCUUAAGUCUUAACACACAAAACCCCAAAGAAUCUUCAUUUCAUGGAAGCAUUUCUCUUGCGGCAUUCAGGAAACGAAAGAAAACAGGUUAAGCUCGAAUGUUUUAGAAAACUUUUGCACUGUGUAAGAAACUGCAGGAACUGGAUCUCGUGUGAGCAAACAUCAUGCCCAGAAACCUGCAAACUGCAUCAGAAAUCUUGUUAAAAUGAAACUGAGUGACUCUGAGAUUUCUGAGCAGAGAGGAUAAAGACGGAGCCGAACAAGAGAGAGUGAGAAUGUGAGUGAUUUAUCUUCUGGAUCAGCGAGCUUCAGUUUCAUUUCAGUUCAAACCUUCUGUGACAAAUGACUGUGGGUGAGGCGGUGCUUGACACUGUGCUCAGUUGUUGUUGAAGUUAAUGCAAAAAGAAAAAAACCCAAACAGAAAUUCACAAAGUUCAACAGUGAUCCAGAGGGCACUCUGGUUAAAUGUUUUGUUUUCAGUUCUUAUAAAUGGACCAACUGUGUACCAACAGUGCAAAACUGUAAUCAGCAAAAAUACACGUCAUAAGUGUCCAUUAUGGCUUUUUAAGAGGCAGACAUGCCUCUUUGACACAGCAGAAACACAAACAGAGUCAGCACUGGAGAAUGUCACAGAACAGGUUGGUUCUUCCAGGUUUUUCUGUCUGUGUUUGAUGCAUGAUCACAUGGAAAAAAGCCGAGUCUUUGCCACAGAGUCAGGAGGACAGUGGUGUUAUCUGAUGUGGAUUCUUAAGAGACUUUCCAUAAGGGUAUGUGUUGUGUAAAUGUUCAUUAUUAGCAGUCUCGGGUUUAAGCUCGGCACAGACGACACGGAACGUCAACUGAAACAUUUGCUCAGUCUGACUGUGGAGAGCACUCGCGGUCAGCAAUGGGUGGCUCCACCUCAAAGAGAGCCCUUUUUUGGCCAAAGAAGAAGAAGAAAUCUCCUCUGAAAAAGACCUGGAGUCAACUGAAGAGGGUGCUGCCUCAUAAGAAACGCAAGAAGAACGCUCUGUCGCUGGAAAAACUGAGUGUGAAAAAGUCGAGGAAGGACAAGCAUUCCAAGAAGAAACCGUCACUGAUAGCAAACAAGAAAGUGCCGACAUUGCUGAAAAGACUCUCUGUGGAUAACACAAAAAAAGAGACGAGUCAAACUGAUUCACCGGGAAGGAAGGAGAAGGACAAAGGGGGGCUGGAAAGAGUAGGAGAGCAAAUAAAAAAGAAACUUUCCAAGGAUGAGAAGAAAGACAUUAUCAGUCAGACAGACACUGUUCCUCUUGCUGAGGAAAAUAAGGCAAAUGACCCAACAAGCGACACAAAGGUGCCUAAAAAGAAACUCAGUGUGAUCAUAAGAUCCAUUCAUCCAGCUGCAAACAGAUAACAACCACCUCGAAUCUGACAGGAAGAUGUGACAACUCUGUAAACAGGCCACAGGACAGUCAGGAAGAUACACGUUUUUAAUGACGUCACUCAGAGAGCAGAUUAUAACGGCAACAGUGUUACAGCCACGAACGCUUCUUCUUUUAAACAUGUCAGCUUCCCCCAAUGUCAAUAUUAAUCCGCUGCAAUAUUUUACUCAAAAGCUUUAUUCACACUUUACUCAGCAAUAAAAACGUGUGUGGAUUAUCAUCCUACUGACAAAUGUUGAGCUUCAUUUCCCCCUCCCUCCUCCAAAUUGCUACUAACUGCAGUUUUACUGAA